rnacentral:rRNA from 1 species
UGGGGAAUUUUGGACGAAUUGGGCGAAAGCCUGAUCCAGCAAUGCCGCGUGUGUGAAGAAGGCCUUCGGGUUGUAAAGCACUUUUGUCCGGAAGGAAAUCCUCUGGGUUAAUACCUCGGGGGAGUGACGGUACCGGAAGAAUAAGCACCGGCUAACUACGUGCCAGCAGCCGCGGUAAUACGUAGGGUGCAAGCGUUAAUCGGAAUUACUGGGCGUAAAGCGUGCGCAGGCGGUUUUGUAAGACGGAUGUGAAAUCCCCGGGCUUAACCUGGGAACUGCAUUCGUGACUGCAAGGCUAGAGUAUGGCAGAGAGGGGUAGAAUUCCACGUGUAGCAGUGAAAUGCGUAGAGAUGUGGAGGAAUACCGAUGGCGAAGGCAGCCCCCUGGGCAAGUACUGACGCUCAUGCACGAAAGCGUGGGGAGCAAACGGAUUAAU